CGAGGUCUGGGAGGGCCUGAGCAGGGCGCUUCUAUUCCCAUAGAGUUAGGAUGUGUCACUUUCCCAGUACUUGGAUGUGUUGACCAAACUGGAAGUUCUCUGAACCCCAUACUUCGGGAGUUUUAUGCAGGUUCCAUCACAUAGACAUGAUAGAUCAUUGACUCCACUUCCUUCUCUGGAGAAUUGGGGGAGUGGGCUGAACGUUAAUUUCUAGUCAUGGCUUGGUCUUUCUGGUGAUUAACCCCCAUCCUGGAGGCUACCAGGAGUCACCUCAUGAGAACAACAACAAAAAAAGACACUUCUAUCAACCAGGAAAUUCCAAGAGAUUUAGGAGUUCUGUGUUAGAAACUGGGAUUAAAGAUCAAAAAUUAGAACAAAAGAUGCUCCUAAUACAUUCAUCACUUAGGGAAUUACAAGCAUUUUAGGAGCUCCCUCUCAGGAACUGGUGAGGGUGGAUGGGUAGGAGGACCAAUAUAUUUUUUUCUGUUAUCUCAUGAUGGUAUAUCUUUUUUCUUUCUUUUUUCCUUUAGACUUUUUUUUUUGUAUUUAACAUGUGUUUCUUGCAAACAGCUUAGUGUUGGUUUUGCUUUGUUACCCAUCUGACAGUGUCUGCCUUUUGAUUGGAUAAUUAAUCCAUUUAUAUAUUUGCAUUUAAUUUUUUUUUUUUUUUUUAUUUUUUUUUUUUUUUUUUAUUUUUUUUUUUUUUUUUGUCUUUCGUCUUUUUUUAAAGCCGCACCUGCGGCAUAUGGAAGUUCCCAGGCUAGAGGUUGAAUCAGAGCUGUUGCCGCCAGCCUAUGCCAGAGCCACAGUAACAUGGGAUCCAAGCUGUGUCUGCAACUUACACCAUAGCUCUCGGCAACGGCAACGCUGGAUCCUUAACCCGCUGAGUGAGGCCAGGGAUCGAACCUGCAACCUCAUGGUUUCUAGUUGGAUUCGUUUCCACUAUACCACAAUGGGAACUCUAACUCCCAGCUUUUUAUCUUAUGUUUGUCUUUUUCUUCUCUGUUUUGUCUUAGUCACAUGUUUUUGAUAUUAUGUUUUGAUUCCUCUAUUGGCCUUUUACCUUUAUUUUUGUAUGUGUGAUUGCUGUAGAAAUUACAUUAUGUAACAAAAUAAUUUAUUGCAAUCUUUUAAGAGACAAUAUCGGAUUAUUUCAGGAAAAAUAUAGGGAGUUUUCAACUAUCUAGUUCCCUUUACUUCUCCUAACCUUUGUGCUAUAAUUAGAGUGAUCAGCUUAUCUCCUGUUUGCCUGGGAAUUUCCUGGUUUUAGCACUGAAAGUUCUGUGUUUGGGCAACUCCCUUAGUCCUGGAAAAACUGGAAAGAUUGUUUCAUCUCUGCUGUUGUUAUUAUCUUUGUUACAUCUAUAAAUGUUGUAAAUUCAACAAUAUAGUGUUAUAGUUUUUGUUUUAAGUCAGAAGCGGGCAAAAUAAUAUGGCUUCCAUGCCAAAUCUGGCUCCUAGGCCUGUUUUUGUAGGAACCACAAAUUAAAAAUGCUUUUUUGCAUUUUUUAUUUUAAGAUUGAGUUUUUUGCAUUUCUGAAGAAUUGCUAAGAAAAAGGAAAAAGAAAAACAUGAGACACAAAUAGCUAUGUGACUCACAAGCCAAAAAUAUUUACUAAUUUCGGCUGGCCCUUUUUAAAAAACUCAUAUAUGUCUAUAAAAAAAUUAAUAUAAACACACAUAUUUAUUUAUUUAUUACCUUUUAGGGCCACACCUGUGGCAUAUGGAGAUUCCCAGGCUAGGGGUUGAACUGGAGCUACAGCUGCCAGCCUACACCACAGUCAUAGCAACAUGGGAUCUGAGCCACAUCUGAAACCUACACCACAGCUCAUGGCAAUGCCUUAUCCUUAACCCACUGAGCAAGGCCAGGGUUUGAACCCGCAUCCUCAUGGAUACUAGUUGAUUCAUUUCAGCUGUGCCACACGGGAACUCCCCAAACCCUUUUUUUUUUUUUUUGCUUUUUAGGGCUGAACUAUGGCAUGUGGAGGUUCCCAGGCUUGGGGCCGAAUCAGAGCUAUAGCUGCCGGCCUACACCACAGCCACAGCAACGUCAGUUCCAAGCUGCAUCUGCAACCUACACCACAGCUCUCGGCAACGCUGGAUCCUUAACCCCCUGAGCGAGGCCAGGGAUCGAACCUGCAACCUCAUGGUUCCUAUUGGAUUUGUUUGCACUGUGCCAAGACAGGAACUCCCCCCGCCUUUUUUUUUUAAGGCGAUUUUAGUACAUUGUUUGGGAGCAGUCUUGUGGAAUAACCAAAUCUGUAUUGUGUUUUAUACAAAUACGGUUUAUGGAUAGUGGUAGAAAUGCAAUCAGAGAAAGUGUAAACAAGAGUUAAUGUUGUUCUAGUACCACCAGUAUAUAGUAUAAAAAGGGUUUGGUGAGGUUUUCCAAAGUAAGGGAUUAUUUCUCUUCUUAGUUUAAAAUUAAAUUUAUUAUGUUUUGGCAUAAUUGACUUGACCAAUUGUACUUUGGAAGAAAUAAUUUCAAUGUCUAAAAUGUUUUCAUUUGUUCUGGUUAAUUAAGUAAAAGUUAGGUUUACAUUGUAUACAUAAUAUUCACUUUCUUCAGGCCACAAACUAUUAUAAAUUGAUCCGUUUCACUUGGCAUAAAAUAAUCUUUCAGGAAAAAAAGCCUGUUUUUAUUUAUUUUUUAUUUUUUUGUUUUUUCUAGGGCCGCACCUGCAGCAUAUGGAGGUUCCCAGGCUAGGGGUCUAAUUGGAGCUGUAGCCACCGGCCUACACCAGAGCCACAGCAACAUGGGAUUCAAGCUGUGUCUGUGACCUACACCACAGCUCACGGCAACACCAGAUCCUUAACCCACUGAGCGAGGCCAGGGAUUGAACCCACAACCUCAUGGUUCCUACUCAGAUUUGUUAACCACUGAGCCACAACAGGAACUCCCAGACAAGCCUGUUUUUAAUAUGCUUAAAGAUUGAAAAGAAAAUAUAAGAACAACCAGAAGUUAAGAAGAGCUCAGUGUCAUUUGGAAAGAGCUAAUUAAUUAUGUUACUUGUAUUCUUUUGGAUAUAACAAAUAUUACAUAAAUUGAAAAACGUUAUUUCAAUUUUUAUUUAUUUAUUUGGCUGUACCUGCAACAUGUGGAAGUUCUUGAGCCAGGGACUGAACCUGUGCCACAGCAGCAACCUGAGCCACAGCAGUAGUACCGCUGGAUCCUUUCUCCACUGCACCACCAGGGAACUCCUUGUUUCAAUUUUUAAGGUAAAUACUUAAGGGAAUAUUCAUGAGGAUUUCAUCAAACUUUUGUUGAUUCCUAAUUGUGCUAUUUUCUUUCAGUAAAAUUAAUUGAAGAAAGUAAUAUUAAGUUAAGGUUCUAAUUUUUUUUUGUCUUUUUUUGUCUUUUCAGGGCCAUACCUAUAGCAUAUGAAGGUUCCUAGCCUAGGGUCCAAUUGGAGCUGUGGCUGCUGGCCUUCAUCACAACCACAGCAACAUGGGAUCAGAGCUGUGCCUGUGACCUAUACCAUGGUUCAUGGCAAUGCCGGAUCCUUAACCCACUGAGAGAAGCCAGGGAUUGAACCCACAUCCCUCGUGGAUACUAGUCGGGUUCGUUAACUGCUGAGCCAUGACAGGAACUCCUAAGGUUCUAAUUUUUUAUAGGUUAAGUUUUAUAAAAACUUGAUUAAGAAACAAUUCUUUAAGAUAUAAAAAAAAGGGAAACCAGAAAGCUAUGUUUUGUUCCUUGCUUUUUUUUUUUUUUUUUGACUACACAACAAAUUAGAAUAUUAGCAUGUUGCACAUCAGGAGUUCUCUGGUGGCCUGACAGUUAAGGACAUUGUCACUGCUGGGGCUUGGGUCUCUGGCCUGGGAACUUCCACAUGCCACAGGUGCAGUCAAAAAAUAAAAAGAAUAUUGCAUAUUAGAAUACUGCAAUGAUUCUACAAUACCUGAAGUAUGUCAUAUUAAAUUUUUAUAUGUAUUUUAUAUGUAAUACAUAAAAUCUUUAAAGUUUGAAGGAAUUUUCCCACUGGAAUAUAUUAUCCUUUUUUUUUAAGAAACUAGAAACAUAGAAAUACUAUAAACAGGAAAGAGGUAGAAUAUUUCAAUUUCUUUAUAAAAUUCUCUGUGCAGGCCUGUACUAAAAAUGUAGUUCCGAAUCCUCUAAAUCAGUAGUUAGUCCUGAGCUAGGUCUGAUCAUGUCUCCCCGGAGACAUUCAGCAAAGUCUGGAGAGAUUUUUGGUUGUCACAAUUGGAUGGGCAGUUAUACUGACAUUUACUGGGAAGAGGCCAGGGAUGCUGGUAAACAUCCUACUAUGCAAAGCAAAGUUACUGGUCCCAAACAAAAUGGUGCCAAAGUUGAGAAGUCUUGUUUACCAUCAGUGCUUUUCACUUCCAGGGUGUUUCACAUCUGUUAUUUAUAUAACUCAGAGUUUACUGAGUCCUUAUGGGUGGAUAGUAUUCAAAAUUGUUAGCCUUCUAGCAUUAAAAAAUUUAAAUAAAAUCUGCAUAACAUAAAAUUUGCUAUUUUAACCACUUUAUUUUAUUUUAUUUUUGUCUUUUUCCCUUUUUUCUAGGGCUGCUUCCCACGGCAUAUGGGGGUUCCCAGGCUAGGCGUCUAACUGGAGCCGUAGCUGCUGGCCUACACCACAGCCACAGCAACACCAGAUCCAAGCCACAUCUGCGACCUGCACCACAGCUCAUGGCAAUGCUGGAUCCUUAACCCACUGAGAAAGGCCAGGGAUCGAACCUGCAACCUCCUGGUUCCUAGUCAGAUUUGUUAACCACUGUGCCACGACGGGAACUCCUCCUAUUUUAACCAUUUUAAAGUGUACAGGUCAAUGGCAUUAAUUACGUGCAUUCAUGGUGUCGUGCAAGCCUCACUACCAGUCUCCAGAACUUUAUUAUUCUCAAGCUGAAACUCUGUACCCCUUAAACAAUAACUCCCCAUUCCCCACUCCCCCCAAACACCUGGUAGCUUCUGUUCUACCUUCUCUCUAUGAAUUUGUCCAUUCUAGUUACCUGGUAUAAGUGAAAUCAUACAGUAUUUGUUCUUUAUGGUUUUUUUUUUUUUUUUUAAUCUUUUUAGGGCUGCGCCUAUGGCAUAUGGAAGCCCAGGCAAGGGGUCAAAUCAGAGCUGCAGCUGCCAGCCUACACCACAGCCGCAGCCACACAGAUCCGAGGCUCAUCUGUGACCUACACCACAGCUCACGGCACUGCCGGAUCCUUAACCCACUGAUAGAGGCCAGAGAUCACAUCCUUGUCCUCAUGGAUACUAGUGGGGUUCAUUACCACUGAGCCACAGUGGGAACUCCGUUUCUAGUAUUUUUUUGUGUAUUUGUUGUUUUAGUUACUACGUUAGAGUGUUUUGCUGUGUGUUUGUAUGUUGGAGAAUGUUUUAUUUGACAGAGCAAUCAUAUUAUGUUUACUGACUGUGAUUUUCAGUAAUUUCUCUCUGUAAUAAAGGAUUGGAAUGAGUUAUUUAUAAUGUGGUUAUUUUAUAGCUCCUUUAAAUCUAGUAAACAAAAUAAGACAAGGACUUUUUCCUUAUAGUUUGUUUACAGUUUUAUUUGGAAAAAUGUAAAAACAGUCUACAUUCGAGGACUCAGUUGAUGUGGUAUUCCCACAAAUGAUGUUAUCAGUAAAUGAUAUUUUGAGGUUUUUUUGUUUUUUUUUAAUCCUGGAAAUCCAACAGUUGGAGCAAUUCAUUGGCAAUCUUCAACACAGAGUACAAAUUGUAUUAUAAUUAACUCUUGGAUUAAUAGUAUUCAGCUUGUCCAACCAAUUGACAAUUGUUUCUACAGCAAGCUCUAUUUUUAUAAGUGGAUUUGGUGGAGGCACUAGUCGCUUGUUGAUUUGUCUUGGAGAUGAUAAUUAGCUCAGUUCCCAGGAAUGUUACACUAAACAUUUUCAUUAACUAGUAGAAAUCAACCUAUUAAUUGAAUGUGAUUAUUUGUGCAUUUUUCUCAUUUGAACCAAAACAGUCUUUGCUUGUUCUGAUUUAUGAUUUUCUUGGUGAUAUGUUUGAUUUUAAAUAAAUGAAUUAAUAC
rnacentral:lncRNA from 1 species